rnacentral:snoRNA from 1 species
UUCUGUAGAUAUGAUGAGCUCCUCAUGUCUCUUCUCUGACUCAAACACAAUGGAGAGAACUUUUACAGCUCUGAUCUCAGAA